UGAGUUAUUCUCCUGAAUGAUGCGAUCAUUGAAGCAUAUAACUAAGGUUACAAAGAUGUAACGAUAUAAGCAUUUUUAAAUUAAGUUAAAACUUUUAUACAAAAUCGAAUUCUGAACUUCAUAAAGAUUUUUAAGGAGGCUUUCAAAGUUAUAAUUUGAUAUAUGUAUCUUCUACAUUGUAGCUCAUCUUAAGUCACUAAGAUUGAAAACACAUAUUUCAAUAAUAUUAGAGCACAUUCAGAAUCUUUGUAAUUAAUAUGAAUUUUGGUACAGAUUGGAGCAAUUUAACAUGUUUCAGGAUGUUAUGUACCAAAGUUUAGGCCAGAUGGAAGAUGAUUCAAAAUCAAUUCAUUUUGCCUCAAUUGCAAAUUUAGUCUAUUCUUUCCUUUUAUUUUUAAGAAAAUAUUCAUUAAAAUCAGAAAAAUACAAGAAGAGUUAAUGAAUCCAGAAAAUAAAUAUCAUUGAGGAGUAUAUUUUGCAAGUGCAAACCAUUUUCAUUAAGCUUUAGAACACAAGUUACUUCGAAGACAAAGGUGAAGUAAAAACUU
rnacentral:lncRNA from 1 species